rnacentral:lncRNA from 1 species
CACAGUUUACAGGACCUCAUUCGCACUCCAAUGACAAUGAAAGGAAGGGGGUGUUGGGCAGAGAAGCAAAGAGCUCCGGUUCUCACCAUCACACGGUAGCGGUAGCGGGUGUAAGUUUGUUCCCAACAUACCAGACAGAGAGCAACUCUCACCAGAGAAGAUCCCAAUGUGUUUUAUGCUAGAUCUGACUUUAAUUAAGUGUAGACAAUGCUCCCAUCAGUGCUGGAACUGGCCCCGGUAACUUGCUUUAGCUGAUGGAAUGUUACCAAACACAACAUGAUCAAAGGCUUGAGAGAUGAUUUCCCUCCUGUGCUUCCGCAAUUACCAUGAAAAGAACAUGGCCUGGUGGUCCCUGAUCCCCAAAGAAUGACGGACACCUGGAAAAAGCUUG